CAACAACACUGUGAGUAGGGUGCUAGCAUCUGCCUUUUACUGAUGGAGAAGUGGAGGCUCAAGGUCAUGACGGUACACAGCCGAAUCUGUAACCAUGAGCAGAGCUCGGAUCUCACUGUUGGCAGAGUUCUUAGGCUUCCACCCCAUUUGUCUGUUCGUGUCUGUCCCUUCUGGAAAGUGGAGACCACGCCUAUGCUUCUUGAAUCCGACUUGCCUAUCGGGACUCUGUUUUCAACUAUGAUCUGCAAACUUCAUUAAGUGCAAUCCAUGAGCCUUGCCUCAGCCAUGACACUUGACUAACUUGCUAGAGGAAGCAAUUCACAUGGAUGAGAGCUGAGUCAUUUCCUACUGAGGCCAUCCUAGACCAGCC